UCUGGUUGAUCCUGCCGGACCUGACUGCUAUCGGAUUGAUACUAAGCCAUGCGAGUCAUUGUAGCAAUACAAGGCAGACGGCUCAGUAACGCGUAGUCAAUCUACCCUAUGGACGGGAAUAACCUCGGGAAACUGAGAAUAAUGCCCGAUAGAACAUUAUGCCUGGAAUGGUUUAUGUUUCAAAUGAUUUAUCGCCAUAGGAUGGGACUGCGGCCUAUCAGUUUGUUGGUGAGGUAAUGGCCCACCAAGACUAUUACGGGUACGGGCUCUGAGAGGAGUAGCCCGGANAUGGGUACUGAGACACGGACCCAGGCCCUAUGGGGCGCAGCAGGCGAGAAAACUUUGCAAUGUGCGAAAGCACGACAAGGUUAAUCCGAGUGGUUUCUGCUAAAGAAACCUUUUGUCAGUCCUAGAAACACUAACNAAUAAGGGGUGGGCAAGUUCUGGUGUCAGCCGCCGCGGUAAGACCANCACCUCAAGUGGUCAGGAUGAUUAUUGGGCCUAANGCAUCCGUAGCUCGNUUUGUAAGUUUUCGGUUAAAUCCAUGCGCUUAACGUAUGGGCUGCCGGGAAUACUGCAUAACUANGAAGUGGGAGAGGUGGGACGGUACUCC
rnacentral:rRNA from 2 species